rnacentral:rRNA from 1 species
AUUGAACGCUGGCGGCAGGCCUAACACAUGCAAGUCGAACGAGUGGCGGACGGGUGAGUAAUGUCUGGGAAACUGCCCGCUGGAGGGGGAUAACUACUGGAAACGGUAGCUAAUACCGCAUACCAUCGGAUGUGCCCAGAGGGGCUUAGCUAGGAGGUGGGGUAAAGGCUCACCUAGGCGACGAUCCCUAGCUGGUCUGAGAGGAUGACCCGCAACCCUGGAACUGAGACCAGGUCCAGACUCCUACGGGAGGCAGCAGUGGGGAAUAUUGAACAAUGGGAGAAAGCCUAAAGCAGCCAUGCGGUGUGUAUGAAGAAGGCCUUCGGGUUGUAAAGAACUUUCAGCGGGGAGGCGUUACCCGCAGAAGAAGCACCGGCUAACUCCGUGCCAGCAGCGGCGGGAUUC